rnacentral:misc_RNA from 1 species
UCCGGCUUAACGCCGGCAGUCUCCCUAGAGUGCCCAACUCAAUGGUGGCAACUAAGGACGAGGGUUGCGCUCGUUGCGGGACUUAACCCAACACCUCACGGCACGAGCUGGCGACAGCCAUGCAGCACCUGAACCAGCGGUCCCCGAAGGGAAAAUCCUGUUUCUAGGACGGUCCGCUGUUGUCUAGUCCAGGUAAGGUUCUUCGCGUUGCAUCGAAUUAAGCCACGCGCUCCGCCGCUUGUGCGGGCCCCCGUCAAUUCCUUUGAGUUUUAGCCUUGCGGCCGUACUCCCCAGGCGGAUGACUUAAUGCGUUAGCUGCGCCACCGAAAGCCUAAGGCCCCCGACAGCUAGUCAUCAUCGUUUACGGCGUGGACUAC